rnacentral:rRNA from 1 species
UGGGGAAUUUUGGACAAUGGGCGCAAGCCUGAUCCAGCCAUGCCGCGUGUCUGAAGAAGGCCUUCGGGUUGUAAAGGACUUUUGUCAGGGAAGAAAAGGGCGGGGUUAAUACCCCUGUCUGAUGACGGUACCUGAAGAAUAAGCACCGGCUAACUACGUGCCAGCAGCCGCGGUAAUACGUAGGGUGCGAGCGUUAAUCGGAAUUACUGGGCGUAAAGCGGGCGCAGACGGUUACUUAAGCAGGAUGUGAAAUCCCCGGGCUCAACCUGGGAACUGCGUUCUGAACUGGGUGACUAGAGUGUGUCAGAGGGAGGUAGAAUUCCACGUGUAGCAGUGAAAUGCGUAGGGAUGUGGAGGAAUACCGAUGGCGAAGGCAGCCUCCUGGGAUAACACUGACGUUCAUGCCCGAAAGCGUGGGUAGCAAACA